GAGCGCGUGGCUCACCCGGUCGAAGAAGAGCGUCCGGUUGGGAAGUCCGGUGAGCGGGUCGUGAAGGGCCUGGUGGGCAAGCUCGUCCUCGAGCCGCUUGCGCUCG
rnacentral:tRNA from 1 species